UACGUAGGGUGCAAGCGUUAAUCGGAAUUACUGGGCGUAAAGCGUGCGCAGGCGGUUCGCUAAGACAGAUGUGAAAUCCCCGGGCUUAACCUGGGAACUGCAUUUGUGUCUGGCGGGCUAGAGUAUGGCAGAGGGGGGUAGAAUUCCACGUGUAGCAGUGAAAUGCGUAGAGAUGUGGAGGAAUACCGAUGGCGAAGGCAGCCCCCUGGGCCAAUACUGACGCUCAUGCACGAAAGCGUGGGGAGCAAACAGG
rnacentral:rRNA from 1 species